AUGAGUUGCCCAGGCAGAUGAUUUUAAUGGGGGAAAUGACUACAGCAAAUCAGAUGAGUGUUUGUAUCUGAGAGGUCUGAGUUGGGAAUUCAUCCUCCAUCCUUGAGCUGUGAGAGCAGACAGACUCAUUCCUGCAGUGUUACUACGGAAGAGGCAUGAUUCCAGGUGCUAGAGAAUCACAUGUCUGCACCUCUAACACAGUGCUUUAGGAUGAAAAAUCAGAGACUCCAAGGAGGAAAGUGAUUGGUUAAAGAUGUCACAACCUGUUGAUAACAAGGGAAACACAGUCUUUUC